rnacentral:rRNA from 1 species
GACGAACGCUGGCGGCGUGCUUAACACAUGCAAGUCGAACGGAAAGGCCCUGCUUUUGUGGGGUGCUCGAGUGGCGAACGGGUGAGUAACACGUGAGUAACCUGCCCUUGACUUUGGGAUAACUUCAGGAAACUGGGGCUAAUACCGGAUAGGAGCUCCUGCUGCAUGGUGGGGGUUGGAAAGUUUCGGCGGUUGGGGAUGGACUCGCGGCUUAUCAGCUUGUUGGUGGGGUAGUGGCUUACCAAGGCUUUGACGGGUAGCCGGCCUGAGAGGGUGACCGGCAACAUUGGGACUGAGAUACGGCCCAGACUCCUACGGGAGGCAGCAGUGGGGAAUAUUGAACAAUGGGCGGAAGCCUGAUGCAGCAACGCCGCGUGCGGGAUGACGGCCUUCGGGUUGUAAACCGCUUUCGCCUGUGACGAAGCGUGAGUGACGGUAAUGGGUAAAGAAGCACCGGCUAACUACGUG